rnacentral:rRNA from 1 species
ACUCCUACGGGAGGCAGCAGUGAGGAAUUUUGCGCAAUGGGCGAAAGCCUGACGCAGCGACGCCGCGUGGAGGAUGAAGUCUUUCGAGAUGUAAACUUCUGUCAGUAGGGAUGAUAAUGACAGUACCUACAGAGGAAGCACCGGCUAACUCCGUGCCAGCAGCCGCGGUAAUACGGAGGGGUGCAAGCGUUGUUCGGAAUUACUGGGGCGUAAAGCGUACGUAGGCGGCGAGUUAAGUCGAAUGUUAAAGCCCGGGGCUCAACCCCGUGGAUGCCUUCGAUACUGGCUUGCUAGAGGGUGAUAGAGGAAAGUGGAAUUCCGAGUGUAGCGGUGAAAUGCGUAGAUAUUCGGAGGAACAUCAGUAGCGAAGGCGACUUUCUGGGUCACACCUGACGCUGAGGUACGAAAGCGUGGGUAGCAAACAGGAUUAGAUACCCUGGUAGGAUAGCG